CAAGGAAAGACCGGUGCAAGCAGGACAGUAGCCAUGCAGGCAAAUCCGUGUGGCAAUACGAAGGCGUGACGCGGACCGAAAUAAAGUAGGGAAGCAUGUGAGCCAUGUGCCAAGAAAAGCCGCUAUAGAUCAUAUCGUACCCGUACCGUAAACCGACACAGGUAGAUGAGGAGAGAAUCCUAAGGCCGACGGGAGAAGUAUUGUUAAGGAACUCGGCUAAAUGACCCCGUAACUUCGGGAGAAGGGGUGCCCACGCGAGUGGGCCGCAGAGAAUAGGCUCAAGCAACUGUUUAGCAAAAACACAGGUCUAUGCGAAACCGAAAGGUGAGGUAUAUGGGCUGACGCCUGCCCGGUGCUGGAAGGUUAAGAGGAGGAGUCAGGCAACGAAGCUCCGAAUUUAAGCCCCAGUAAACGGCGGCCGUAACUAUAACGGUCCUAAGGUAGCGAAAUUCCUUGUCGGGUAAGUUCCGACCCGCACGAAAGGCGUAAUGAUUUGAGCACUGUCUCGACAAUGCACCCGGUGAAAUUGAAGUACCAGUGAAGAUGCUGGUUACCUGCGCCAGGACGGAAAGACCCCAUGGAGCUUUACUCCAGUUUGAUACUGGGAUUUGAUACUGAAUGUACAGGAUAGGUGGGAGGCUGAGAAGCGUGGACGCCAGUCUGCGGUGAGCCGCUGUUGGGAUACCACCCUUUGAGUAUUGGAUUUCUAACCUGCGCCCGUGACCCGGGCGGGGGACAAUGUCUGACGGGGAGUUUGACUGGGGCGGUCGCCUCCGAAAGGGUAUCGGAGGCGCUCAAAGGUUCCCUCAGAAUGGUUGGAAACCAUUCGCAGAGUGCAAAGGCAGAAGGGAGCUUGACUGUGACACCGACGGGUGGAGCAGGUACGAAAGUAGGACUUAGUGAUCCGGUGGUAUGAAAGUGGGAUUGCCAUCGCUCAACGGAUAAAAGCUACCCUGGAUAACAGGCUUAUCACUCCCAAGAGUUCACAUCGACGGAGUGGUUUGGCACCUCGAUGUCGGCUCAUCGCAUCCUGGGGCUGUAGCAGGUCCCAAGGGUUGGGCUGUUCGCCCAUUAAAGCGGUACGCGAGCUGGGUUCAGAACGUCGUGAGACAGUUCGGUCCCUAUCCGGCGCAGGCGUAGGAUAUUUGAGAGGAGCUGUCCUUAGUACGAGAGGACCGGGAUGGACAGACCGCUGGUGUAUCUGUUGGUGACCAACACCAUGGCAGAGUAGCCAAGUCUGGCAGGGAUAAACGCUGAAGGCAUCUAAGCGUGAAGCCCCCCUCAAGAUGAGAUAUCCCAAUAAGUAAGACCCCUUAGAGAGUAUGAGGUAGAUAGGCUUAAGGUGUAAGCAUAGUAAUAUGUUCAGCUGAUAAGUACUAAUAGGUCGAGGGCUUAUC
rnacentral:rRNA from 1 species